AAGAAACGACCGUGUGCGAAGAAAGAUUCUUAAGUGGAAGUGAGCUUGGAUUUUGCAUCCAAACUCGCUUGCUUAGUUUGUGCGAAGUUUGGUUUUGUGCGAAGAAACACCCGUUUGUGCGAAGAAAGAUUCUUAAGUGGAAGUGAGGUUGGAUUUUGCAUCCAAAACAAUCCAAACAAUUUUCAACAGCAACGUCCUGGGUUGCAAUUGAUGACUAGUGCGACUUAGUACGAAAAAAGGAAUAUGGAAAAAAGAACACGGCCCAUCAUUCGAGAACCUGGUGUUCGAAUUAAUAAGAGCGGGCCUUCUGAUUCUCUGAACGCAAAAAAAUCUGAUUACGUGAGUUACGUGUUUUUUAUUUCAAUUUUCGCUACAGUUGGAAUACCUCUUGAAAUAUCAUAACAAUGAGCUGUAUUCUGUUCUGCAAUAAUGAAUUAUAAUAUAGAAAAAAAAUAUUUUCGAUUUGAGGGAUGUACGAAAUAAUAAGAGCAAAACAUAAAUGUUUCAAAGACAUCCACAAAAAUAAAGGAAAACGAUGAAUUCCUUCCAUAAUAUUGAUUGUAAACAUCAGUACUUUGUAGUGUACCCCCUGUUUUGAAUUACAGCAGCACAUCUACGUGGCAUAAAGUCAACCAAUGCUCGCCAUUUUGAUUCGGGGAUAUUUUCCCAGACUUGGCGAACUGUGGUCCACAAUUCUUGCGCAUUUGAUGGUUUGGGAAUCAUAAAUGUCGCACCAUAAGUUUUCGAUUGGAUUGAGGUCGUGAGAUUGUGCCGACCAAUCCAAGACUUCAAUAUGUUUCUCAGUAAACCGUGCCUUGGCGUGCCUGCUUGUGUGUUUUGGAUCGUUAUCCUGCUGGAAGAUCCAUUUAAGCGGCAUAUCUUCUUAUUAAUUCGAACACCAUAUUAUAUUAAAUAUGAAGUUGAAUUUUAUAUCUAACAACCUUUUCAUCUUUUUUACCUUUAGCGAAACUCCCGGAGAGAAUGCUCAAAGCAUUGAAGAAUAUAAAGGGGAUAAAAUGGGCACGGGCAACUAUCACCACCUUAGUGUGAAGGAUAGCCUUGCCAAAGUAUUGCAGCAGUUAUCAAUCACAGUCUGCAAUAUUGACCUUUGGGCUGAUGGAGCGCCCAUAAAGGUCGUAAGCUAUGCCGAAUAUAAAUUAUGGUUCGUGGCAUACGAUGUCACCGAACUAAAAGAGUUCCUUCACCCCUUUCUCGCGGGUGCCUAUUUCGGUUUAGAUGCUCCACCGCCAAGCCUUCUUCAACCGGCGGUGAACGAGCUGAACGAAAUGAGGAACUUUGUGCUCAAUGGCAAAACCAGAAGUGUUACCCUACGCAUUUUUGGUGGUGAUUUAGAGGCCCAAUAUAGAAUGGCCGACACGGUGCCAUGGGGUGCCGAUCAAAUUUGCCGUUUUUGCCAUAUUGUUAGGGCAAAUAUUAAUUUCUUCAAAAAUCCCCUGCCCAGCCCACGGCUCGAUGAACCUUUCCGAGCUGGGUGUUACAGAGGGCAUUAUCUCGGUGGAAAACCCUAUUCCGAGUCUGCAUUACUGCAGUAUCAGUUAAUCAUAUAUAUUAAUUAAGUUAAUCAUAUAUUAAUCAUCAUAUUAAUUGGCGAUAUGCGUCACAUUAUUAACUAUGGAGUAUUUAAAUCAUUACUCAUUAUUUUUAUGGAAAGCGGACAUUUGGAUCCGCUUAAAUUUAACGAGGUUUGCGCAGGGAUCGAAAUACCCUAUUCUAUGGGGUUCGAUGAGCUGCCACCGCUAUCAAGCAAUCUUAAAGACGAUAUAUGGUGGUGCCCUGAAAUGUUGGGCUUCGUAUUUUAUUACGCUGGCCCAGCAAUAUUUAAAAUUAUACUAGAGCCAUUAUUUUAUAAAAUGUACCUGUGCCUGCAUACUGCAAUUGUAUUCUAUUGCACCAAAGGCCAGAACAUUAAAAUGGCGCAUAGACUCAUUCAACAAUUUUUGAAUGAGUUGACUGACGAAUGUCCCGAGCAUGCACAAUAUAGUUCAAUUAAAUUCCAUAUAUUGCUGCACCUCGAGGAGGAAGUACAGAGACACGGACUGUACCAAUUCAAUAGUACUGACCGUGUCGAGUGCUUUAUAGAGGCCAUUCGAAAUAAAAUAUUAUUAAAUGGUGCUGGAAAUCCUUUGAAAUAUCUAAAGGAAAGAAGCCCAUUUACAUGGACUACCCUAAACUGGAAAAUCUGGAUAUGGAUGGCCGGUUCCAGGUGGUACGGUUUACGAUGAGAUGUAAACUCGUUGCGCAAAGCACCACAGACUGUUGGUUGCUAACAACCAAACAACAGGUUGUGCGCAUGGAAUAUGCCACCGAAAGCCGCCAUGUUCAUGGCAAAGAAGUGAAAGUUAAAUUAGAGAUCUUUAUGCCCGGCAAGAAGUUCAACAAAACGGAAUUCCAUACAGUCGGAUAUUGGUCGGUCGGCAACAUGGACGAUGCAACACAAAUAAGUGUACCGUUCGAUCUUGCAAGCUAGUGCGAGUCGUUGUUAAUCUACAAAGCUAUUUCAAACCAAUUUACGACUCCUAUGUCCCAGACCAAACAUAGGCUAUACCGGGAGUGAUAUCUAGCUCUCUUGCUCUGGUCAAAACGGAGAGACCUCUUCGUCUUCCUCGCUCAACUUAUUGUGGCUUGUUUUGGCACUCUUAGUGAGGCGCUGAGAUUAGAGCUUGGUUUAGCUCGGCCGUUGAGUUUAAUGGAAAGAUGGAGCCGCGUUAACAAAGCGCAUAGUCAUCUUAUUGUGGCUUGUUUUGGCACUCUUAGUGAGGUGCUGAGAUUAGAGCUUGGUUUAGCUCGGCCGU